UUAAAGUUGAGCUUUAACGGUUGGCCGCGGGGGAACAGCACCUCGUUAGCCUAAUUGGCAGUGUUAGCCUAGUUAGCCUAAUUAGCCGAGUGCAGUGGGAGCGUUGCGCCUCGGGCCAUGAGCAUGGAUCUGAGAGUCCUUAAUUAGUCCGUGCCGGUCGAGCCUCGCCGCCGUUUGAUGUGGGAGCGUUUAGGUUUUACAGGAGGAGGCGUGGAGCCGCUCUGCCGCUCGCCGGCAACAACAAGCUUUAUGAACGCAGACAUGAGGAGAAAAAAGAGGCCAAAGACAGACGAGAGGAGUGAAAUUUCACAACCUGUGAGCAGCUCAAGUGUUGACUGUGGCGAGCGGCGUGCUGAAGCUUGUUGUUUGCAGCUGUCAGACUCUUUACUGCCAGUUUAAAGCUGCAACUUGUACACUUCAAAGCAACGAGAAGAAGAUCUGAUAGACAGUUUCUUCACUUCAUGUGCGUCUUGUCUCUGGGUGAUACUGUCUCAACAGAUUAGUUUCUCUGCGUUUUCCGUCGCGGGACACCUGAUGAGCGUCUGUCAUCGGUUUCCUCUUUCUGCAGUUGCAGCCCUGCUCUUUUGUCCUGUUGAGUAACACUGCUGUGAAUCUGCAUCAGCUGCUGUUUGGCAGCGCCGCACCUUCGCUCCGUCCUGUCGCAUGUGAAGCCACGUGUUGGACCAACUGCAUCCACAGGGUCCAGGUCCAGUGGUCGGGUUUUUUCCUUCAGCCGCCCGCCCCCUCCCCUUCUUCUUCAUCUGUCUCCAACACGCUCCAACUCGGAGAAAACAUGUCAGUGGUUUUGGCUGUGUGGCUGUUCCCAGCAUGCACGUGUGAAGCGGGCGGAUGUGUUGUGUUGCGGGCGGGGUUUGUGUGUGUGUGAUGUUGUGGUGUUUCAUUCUUCCCAUCAUGCCCUAGUCCAGAAACGGCGGGGCCAUGGAGGAUGCUCUGGUUUCACAAGCUUUUCCGUGAGCACGUGCAACAAACCUCAGUGACCCACACACACUGCUGCUUUGUGUGUGCAUGCGUUAAUUGACAUGUACAGUAAUAUGCUGGGUUUUUUGUGUAAAACUGUUAACAUCUGCAUUCCUUUCAUUCCUGUCAGUCCAAACCUUAAUUCUCCUCCUUAUCGCUCACAGCUGCUGUUUGUCUUCAGCUGUCCAGUUUGAAGAAAAACUUUUACAAUCAGAUAAAAAUUAAAGAAUGUGGUUGUAAUUAUACACUUAGACAUUCAAUACAUUAAAGGGCUGCAAAAACUCU